rnacentral:ribozyme from 1 species
AGUCGUUUGAGCGACUAUAAAUAGGUGUUUGGCUCAAAGCGGGUAACUAUAUAGUUAUGUCACA